rnacentral:rRNA from 1 species
UACGGGGGGGGCAAGCGUUGUUCGGAAUUACUGGGCGUAAAGGGCUCGUAGGCGGCCAACUAAGUCAGACGUGAAAUCCCUCGGCUUAACCGGGGAACUGCAUCUGAUACUGGAUGGCUUGAGUUCGGGAGAGGGAUGUGGAAUUCCAGGUGUAGCGGUGAAAUGCGUAGAUAUCUGGAGGAACACCGGUGGCGAAGGCGGCAUCCUGGACCGACACUGACGCCGAUGAGCGAAAGCCAGGGGAGCAAACGGG